UUCCCCCACUCGAAAAAAGAUACCUAGAUUUGAAAACCCUUCUCCCCUGUCGCCGCUUCCAUCUAUCGUUGUCAUGGCUUCCGCCCCAACUUUCUCUCUCAGAUGUAAAUCGAUAACGGUAGGAUUUGUUUAUGAGUUAUUCGAGUAUCACAUUUGUAAAUAGUAUUUGCAAUUUUCUUCUAAUUUAUUCGAUUAUUUAUUUUUCUUUUGAAUUAUAACUGAUAAAACCUAUCUUGUGUUAAUUUCAGUCUGCUUUAGAUUCUUGCCUCAACAUGAAUAAAGCUGUCUAUCUUGAUUAUAACGAGUUUAGUUUGUGAAGACUGGAAACUGCAAAUUGAAAUUGGAUUAACCCUCUCCACCAAAGGUAGUUUUCCAGCGAUGCGAAAAGAUUGACGAAGCGCAAGUAGUCGCGCACAACUCAUCGGCGACAUGCACUUCCAGUUUCUGCGAGGUCUGUGUGUUUGAUUAACUUAUUCUGGUGUUAAUGGUUUGUUACAGUUUCUAUUUCUGAUUCAUAAUUUCACUUCAUUUAUCUAUUUCUGUUUAUAUGAGCACAUUAUGUGAAUUGUAUAUCGUUUCUCCUAAUGUAAAUCUAUACAGAUCGACUCCAAUAAUAGACAUAUCUAUCUCAGAAAUGAACAUUAACAUCAAGGUCACACUCUGUCAACUUGAUUACCAUCUCACAUAGUUAACAUCAUGUAUGUGUCAAUCUAGUGCAUAGAGCUUCUCAAUAGGUUUAAGAACAUCAUUAGAUUAAUAAAAUUAAACACCUUGAUAAUUUUUUUAGGGGGCAUUUGGUUGGUGGAUAGGAUAGAGUAGGAUUAGAGUAUUUGGAUUAUUUGAAUUGUUGAUUAUUAAGUGAGGUAUUCAAAACAAAAUGAAGUUGAUGUUAGCAUGAUUGUGUAUAACUGUUCUGUCUUAUAAUUUUCAGCUUACCACAUUUGAUAUGCAAGUAAACAUUUUAUUGCAUACUUGCAAUGAUAGUUACAAUAAAUGAGUUCAUUGCUUGGUCCAUAAGAUAUAAUCAUAAAAUUAUAAGUUGUGUCUGGUAAAAAGCCUAGGGCUAGCGCGCCUUAAGCGAGGCGCAGGUGGGGGGCCUUUUUAGGCAAGGUGCGGGAACCUACUAGAGGCGCAGCCAAGGCGCAAUAAGGCGCGAAAGGCGCGCCUAGGCGCAGGCUCACUAAGGCGCCGCCUUAUGUAGAAUUAGGGUG
rnacentral:lncRNA from 1 species